GGUAAACCUGAAUUAUUCAACAAAAUUAUGAAUAGCAUCAAACAAACAAGUUUUAUACCUGGUGUAAUUUUAAGCUGCCCCGCAAAUAUAAAUAUUAAUGAGCAAAUAACAUGUAUUUGCACGAACAUCCAAAAUGGUUUCUUCCAUCUCAACAAAUUAAAAAAACAUUUGAAGGAAACCACAAAAAGGACAGUCCAUUGUUAAAUUUUAAGUCUCUGUAUCAGACACCAGCAUCCAAACUUGUGUUUUGGUCAUGACUCAUGAGUAACACGUCCAUAACAACUUAGGACAAGAGAGAGAGGGAAGCAUAACUAACAGCAGCAUAACAGAUACUAGUUUGCUAAUAUUGAACAAGAUAUGGGA
rnacentral:misc_RNA from 1 species